GACGAACGCUGGCGGCGUGCUUAACACAUGCAAGUCGAACGGAAAGGCCCUGCUUUUGUGGGGUGCUCGAGUGGCGAACGGGUGAGUAACACGUGAGUAACCUGCCCUUGACUUUGGGAUAACUUCAGGAAACUGGGGCUAAUACCGGAUAGGAGCUCCUGCUGCAUGGUGGGGGUUGGAAAGUUUCGGCAGUUGGGGAUGGACUCGCGGCUUAUCAGCUUGUUGGUGGGGUAGUGGCUUACCAAGGCUUUGACGGGUAGCCGGCCUGAGAGGGUGACCGGCCACAUUGGGACUGAGAUACGGCCCAGACUCCUACGGGAGGCAGCAGUGGGGAAUAUUGCACAAUGGGCGGAAGCCUGAUGCAGCAACGCCGCGUGCGGGAUGACGGCCUUCGGGUUGUAAACCGCUUUCGCCUGUGACGAAGCGUGAGUGACGGUAAUGGGUAAAGAAGCACCGGCUAACUACG
rnacentral:rRNA from 1 species